rnacentral:rRNA from 1 species
AGUCCUACGGGAGGCAGCAGUGAGGAAUAUUGGUCAAUGGGCUUACGCCUGAACCAGCCAAGUCGCGUGAGGGAAGACUGCCCUAUGGGUUGUAAGCCUCUUUUGUCAGGGAGCAAUUGGCGCUACGUGUAGCGUUAUCGAGAGUACCUGAAGAAAAAGCAUCGGCUAACUCCGUGCCAGCAGCCGCGGUAAUACGGAGGAUGCGAGCGUUAUCCGGAUUUAUUGGGUUUAAAGGGUGCGUAGGCGGAAUGCCACGGCAGCGGUAAACUCGCGGGGCUCAACCUCGCUCCGUCGUUGAAACUGGG